rnacentral:rRNA from 1 species
GAUGAACGCUGGCGGCGUGCCUAAUACAUGCAAGUCGAGCGAACGGACGAGAAGCUUGCUCUUCUGAUGUUAGCGGCGGACGGGUGAGUAACACGUGGAUAACCUACCUAUAAGACUGGGAUAACUUCGGGAAACCGGAGCUAAUACCGGAUAAUAUUUUGAACCGCAUGGUUCAAAAGUGAAAGACGGUCUUGCUGUCACUUAUAGAUGGACCCGCGCUGCAUUAGCUAGUUGGUAAGGUAACGGCUUACCAAGGCAACGAUGCAUAGCCGACCUGAGAGGGUGAUCGGCCACACUGGAACUGAGACACGGUCCAGACUCCUACGGGAGGCAGCAGUAGGGAAUCUUCCGCAAUGGGCGAAAGCCUGACGGAGCAACGCCGCGUGAGUGAUGAAGGUCUUCGGAUCGUAAAACUCUGUUAUUAGGGAAGAACAUAUGUGUAAGUAACUGUGCACAUCUUGACGGUACCUAAUCAGAAAGCCACGGUUAACUACGUG